rnacentral:tRNA from 1 species
CCGAUGGUGGUAUAGUGGUGAACAUAGCUGCCUUCCAAGCAGUUGACCCGGGUUCGAUUCCCGGCCAUCGCA